rnacentral:rRNA from 1 species
GCCGCGUGUGUGAAGAAGGUCUUCGGAUUGUAAAGCACUUUAAGCUGGGAGGAAGGGCAGUAAGCUAAUACCUUGCUGUUUUGACGUUACCANCAGAAUAAGCACCGGCUAACUCUGUGCCAGCAGCCGCGGUAAU